UUUUAGUACUUAAUCAGGGUCUGGGGUACAUCAUUAGUUCAUGAACCAAUGAUUUUGUAAUGUCAAACUAUGGAGGAAGAAAAAAAGGAAGCGAAUGCAGAAAUGUUGGCAAAGGGGCAUGAGCAAUUUGACGAAAUCAACCGAGAACAAUUACAAACAUUAAGGUAUUGAAAAUUUUGGAGAGGCUAAAUGAAAGAUCAUGUCAAUAAGUAUGAUCAUCAUCCUCGGAAAUUUAAGGAUUGUGGCUGAAAUAAGGAUGAACAAUUACAUAAAGCUUCUUAUAAUUCAUUGUUAUCAUUUUUUUAUCCUCAUUACGUAUAGCUACGGUGCACUCACUAAUAUGGUACACUUUAUAUGCCUAUAUACUUCUAAAUUAAGAGUGGAUGUUGGAAAUAAUUCAAAGGUAGUUGAUGAUACUCCCAAUCACACAUUUCUACUUUUGCCUACUUCUACUGAAACUUUUUGCCUACUUUUACUGAAACUUUUUGCCUACUUCUACUGAAACAAGGAAUGUAAAACUGAUUCAUUCUGUUUAGAUAUUGACUUACAGAUGUAUUAGCCCUCAUACCAGUUUGCAAUGCAAAUCUUAGUAAUAUCU
rnacentral:lncRNA from 1 species